UUGCUCCGGCUGGGGAACCGGCCCAAUGACUCUGAUGGAACCCAAUUAAUCUGCACCAGUGGAGGACCAGGCCCAGUGCUCUCAGAAGGAAAACUUUCCCUCCCCCACCCACUUGAACAGGGUAAAUGUACCGAGUUGCUUCCAGCCUGAAGGCCACCCCUAGAGGCUGAGCGGUGUCACAGCUUCAUCUCAUCCAGGUUCAGCUGCAGCCACUUCAUUCUGCGGCUGAGUCCCUGACAAUGAGCCUGGCCGCUUUGCUGCUGGUGCUGGCUCCAGGCGCGUUGGCCCAAUACACGGUGACCCAGGAGCCGUCCCAGGUCGCUGCCAAGGAAGGAGAAUCCAUCCAGCUCAACUGCUCCUACACGGGCACUGAGUACAGCGUGCAUUGGUACCGCCAGCCCCAGGGGGGCCAGCCGCGGUUCCUGGCGCUCCUGUCCUCUAGUCACAGAGACACCCGAGAGAAUUUCACCAUGAGCCUGGACACCAAAACCAAAAGCAGCUUCUUGUACCUGAACAGCAGCCGCCUGGAAGACUCUGCUGUGUUUCUGUGCGCGCUGAAGCACAGUGCCAGGUGAUCACAGGCAGCCCGUCACAAAACCCUGGGUGGGGGCAGGGCACACGGACCCGAGAGAGGAGACAAGCAGAAGUUAGAACAGACCAGAGGAUAUGAGCACAGAAGAGAAGAAAGGAAAGUAGACCAGAGUCGGCGAGAGGCAAUAAGAAUAAAAUGGAACAGAAGAGAACACACGGGAACGGACCGGAACAGGAGCGAUGUGAACAGAAUAAAGGGGAGAGAAGAGAAGAGGAGUCAGUAAUUUAAGGAAGAAACUUGAAGAAUCAGCUGGAAAAUUAUAGACAUUUUCACCUCUUUUGUCUUCCCCAAUUGCCUGGAUCUGUGGUUUUAUAUGAAAAAUGGCUUCCUUGUCCCACAACACUAGCAGAUGGGGAAGCAUUCCCUGGGGAGACAACACAGGAACUCAGUCAUUCCAAUGCGAUUUUCUCUGUUGUUCGGGUCAGACACUGUCAGACUGGUAACAUGCACUCAGACAUUCUCACAUACAGCCACUCACAGGACACACUCGCACAUGUUCUCUCUCUCUCUCUCACACAGACACACACAUAUACACACUUGCACAGACAAACACACUCUCCUCACCUAGACUCACACGCACAAAUAGAUUCUAGCACACAGUCAGAAACCUAUACACUGAAAUCACACACGCACACUCUCUGAUAUAUAUCCCCCAUCAUACACACUCAGAAAUAUAGAUAUCUAUGCAUCCACACCAUCAGUCACACACACACACUUCAUCUCAGAGUCAAAGAGAUCCAUACACCCUCUUAGAUGAUAAUAUCUUUGAUUGGAUCAGCUUCUGUUGGGGAGACAAGUUUUCCAGUUACACGGAGCUCUUCCUCCACUGGGAAGCGUGUCUCUCACCAGCAGAAGUUGCUCCACUGAAAGAUAUGACCUGACCCACCUUGUUCCUCCAAUAGUGUGGGACCACCACAGCUACAAGAACACGGCACACUCCUAGAUAAACAGCCUGUCCCCCCGAAUGCAUCCCACACACAGAGAAUUUCCUGUGUCAGACGUAGAUCUCUCGGCAAAGGGACCCAGUCCUGCCAGGGUCUGACAGACCCCACAGCACCCAUGAACUUCCUUCUCCUGCCAGGUAUUACUCCCUUUUGUACCCAGUCUUUGUUAUUCUCUCUAUCACACACACAGACACUUCCCCCCUCACCCUCAGGCAGGAUUUAAGAGCUUGGCGUCCCUUGGUAUUUUACAAGCAAAGAACUGAGUUUACGCCAGUCCCAUCUCUUCCUGUCAGCUCUACUGAGCACAACAGACACGUGCAGUUUGUAAAACUCCAUCUGUUUCCUGCUGGCUCAUCUCCAGCCCUCCACUGUAAGGGGACUUCCAGCCAAACGCCCGCCCCUCCCUGGGCGUGACGUCCGCUGGCCUCCCUCGCCCUGUUUUCCCCACACCAGGUCCCAGGCGGUUCCCCGCAGCUCAUGAUAUUAAGGAUCACAGGUGGCUGGGAACAGGGAGAUUCCUUCACCGGGUCCUUGGAAACCACCCACCGGUGCAGCUCGCUCAGCUUCCCCAGCAGCCAGCCUGGGCCCUCAGCCGUGUACUUGCACUAGUACAAAACCCACUGCAGCCUGUCAGGGAGGUGGGUGUGCGCGUGCGUGCAAAGACUUGUAGAGCCCUCGGGCCUGUGUGGGAAACGAUUUUACUCUCAGCGCUCACAUGCCACGGAGAUGAGUGUCAGCACAACAGAUAGUGCAGCAAGAGGGAGGGAUGGACAAAGCAGCGGGCAGGGUGGCUAAAUGGAUGCAUAGACAGAGGUGCAGCAGGAAAUCUAGCUAGCUAUUUAGAUACUGGGUCAGGAAAGCGAGGGAGCUCGAUAAUGAAGCAUGAAGACUGCAAAGAACGAGAA